AGCUUUCUGAAUCCUUACCGAGAUUUCGUCGGACAAAAGAGUAUCAGAACUGAUGAGACUCCUAAGUGAAGCG
rnacentral:pre_miRNA from 1 species